UGUCUCUUCAUCAGCGGUUAACGUCAGCCGGACUUCGGUCCUGUAGUGCCUCAACCGUUUUAUUAUAAUACCCGAAAUAUGUGCUCUCGUAAAAUUUGCGUUAAAUUAUUGAAAUCUCGCUUGCGGUUUCGGUGCGUACGUCGUUCGUUCGGAAUCGUCGCGCGCGCGUUUACGUAGUCUAACGCUGUGUGUGGGAAAGAAACAGCAAAUGCAGCAAGAAAAACGUAGGAGAACAUAACGUAAUUUCGCUUGAAGAGAUUGUGUCUGGGGCAGCUCUAACGGCAGCUCUUUCAUGCUCUUUGAUGCUGAGCUCAUUUGAUUGAUUUUGGGUGUACACAUUUGACGGCGACCAAUUAUCAUGUUUCAAUUUGCAUUUGUAAGCACUGCAGUUCGGUUGGAGGGGAUGCGAUGGCAG